ACAGCCUUGCUUCACAGAAGUCCGUGUUCACGCUAAGUGUUAAUGUUUAGCAUCAACUAAAAGUAAUGUCUUGGUUUUAUUUUUGUCAAAUAUCCGCUGCUUUGCUGGGAGUGAAAACGGCUUACUUUGGUUUUAGUUACUUUAUUAUGAAUAGUGGCGUUCUGAUGUCAAGCUAAGUGAUUUAGUGCAAGCUAACAGCAAGGUUAAGCUAAGUUGUCAAAGUGAACAUAUUUAAGCCAUCAAAACAACACCAGAGCUGAAGUUUUGACCCCUUUAUGAGCUGAGGGACGGUAGUCUUGAAAUUUAAUUUGAUGGUGCAUCUGUUAAGUUCAGUACAGAAAACCUCAGUUCAACCCAGUCAUCAGGACCAUAUUUCGCUGUGUUCCCACAUGUCUUUAGAAGAUUCCUACAAGCAAACGGACGUGACCAAGAUGAGGCGGUGGCCACUGGUUUAAUGAUGGCUAACAAGAUCAUUGAGAGAAGCCGCCCACAGUGUCUAAAGCCUGGAGUUAUGGAAUUUUCUUCCUUAUGGAUGCCUCCUAAGAUGACUGACAUCUUUCUCAGAGUUAAUGUUAAAACUGUUAUGUAGUGAUGGCUAAGGUUGAGUGAAUUGAGACUAAAGAAAAUUAAAGUGCACAGUGAUAAUGAACAGUGACAUGUCAUUCUAUGAGAUAUUUGAUGUGAGCAUUUCAUAUAGUUAAAGGUGGAGUAUGCAAUUCUGGAGAAAUCUAAUACCAUGACAAAUACCGUGAUAUAGAGCGAACAACGACACAGCAAGUAAUAUAACUAACGUUAGCUAGGUUGUGGGUUAGCAAACUGUCUCUACAGUUGCUGCUGCAAAGCUAACAUCUAGAGAGGAUGAGACUGUUUCCUAGAGCCAGCAAACCGGCUCCAGACAGCAAUACUCACAACUCUCCUGCUGCUAUAGCUAACAUCACAACAACAGCAUAUCAUGCUAGAAAGUAAGCUGAAUGUCCGUGGGCAAGUAAUGAAAUGUUCCCUGACACACAAAUCAUGGCUGGAAUAGUGUUGUGUGGCUCGGUCCGAGCCACUUUGUUUAUUUCCCAUUUACAGAGCCAGGGCUGUGUACAAACAACAGAGUCUUUUUUCAGCGCACCCUGAACGGACAGCUAGCAUGAGGAGAUAUUCGCUGAAUAUGACAAACAGACGUGUAUUGGAUAAGAAUUGCAUAACCCACCUUCAAAGUCCCAAUCCUUUACAUUUUUUCAGCACACUUUCCAUCUUACUGUUACUGUUGAAAAUACACUAAACAACUGUGUGUAGGCCACUUUUAAGGACUGUAACAACUGUUUCAGUAUUAGGUUCUGUGAUUGGCCCUUGUGCUUUGUGGCGUGGGUAUUUAUGUAAAAAUAUUAAGAAGACUUUACCCUAUUAUUUCACCAUUUUAAUUCUACUUAAUUCUCCACCUUAUUUUAGUGUUUACUCACAGCUACUUUAAUCUGCUCACCUUUUCCUUUCACUUCUCUUUCUUUUCUUUACCUCCGCUCCGCCUUUUUCUGUUUCUCUCUCCCAUAACCCGCGAUUCCAUUUCACAGCAGCAGGUGAGCCGCGUGUGGAGGAGGCUUGUUGUUAAUGACGUUGCGUAUCGAAACGAUCACUGUUGCUUUACCUGGUCCGUGCUUGUAAAAUAUCCAUGGUGUCGUCUUCUAACGUAAUACCUGAGAACGUCUCUCUCUCUUUCUCUCUCUCUGUUUCUCUGCAGAGCAUGUGCAAUUGACAGUAGACCGCACGGGAGGAGGCAGAGCGAGGGGAGAUUGUCCACUAAUUAAUAAAUAGCAGAUGGUGUCGUUCUAAAAAUAAAAAAUGCUAAAAUGGGUUGCCAAUUAUACCUGGGCGGUAGGGGUGUAACGGUACACAAAAUUCACGGUUCGGUACGUUUUUGGUACAGCAGGGAAAACAAAAAUAUGAUUUUUAUUUAUUUUGAAAAAUGCAAACAUUCAGCAGUGGCUCAUUGGCCAUAAUUCGUACUGUACAGUUAAUGCACACAAAUACUGUCAUAUUGUCAAUAAGAAAAAUAAAUAACAAAAAUGUCAGUAAUGCUCCAUCGUAAGACUCUGACCUGCUGAUAAUUCCUGAACAGCUGCAACUUGCGCUGAUUUAUACAGGGCUAAAAUGCACACGUUAAGGCACAUUGUAGCGGGGGUCGAGCACUUUUCCACUGCACAUUAUGGUUCAACUCGACUCUGCUUGCUUUACUUUUCUGAGCUUGCUUUUCCACUGUAGUUUAGUGCCGCCUCAACGUGGGUGGGAUUAUAGGCUGAUCGUCAAUAGUUGCGCCGCCUCUACUGCUGUUUUAGAAGCAAGCUUUCCAGUAGCUGGUCAACUAAAUAAAGUGAGGCUUUCAAGCAGAAUAUAGAGUUAAUGUAACAAAAGUACCAUCCUCCAUCGUGGACCGAGGCCGUGGCCGAGUCCAGGGCACUCUCUCUCCCAUUGCUCACCGGUCUAUUGCCAUAGAUAGCGUCCAUUUGGUCGAACCACUUCCACUUUCUUCUGUUUGAACCACUCCGGCUGUUGUGGUCCUUGAUGAUUCUGUAGUCACUUUAAAGUUUUUUUUUUACUUUUCCCUACACUAUUGGUUGGUCCGGUGGUAGCCGUGUGCGGCCAACAGCUGAGACACUUCCAGAAAGACUUAUUUGUUUCACGUCGUUUCGUUCAUCACUAACGAGAGGAACGUCUGCACCUCGUUUAUUGACCAUGGUGUGUUUUUGCGCACAGCCAUUUCUUUUUACAAUUUGAAAGUCGGGUGAACAAAUGAUAUUGCUAUCACUGUUGCUAACUUUAAAACUUGCGGGUUGAUGUACAGUGUCGCAAAUCCAGUGACGCUGGUAGUGACGAUUCUCUCUGACCAAUCAGUGAUCUGCAGGGUUUUGAUGUCACAUUUAGUAUCGGCUCGGCUCACUUGGAACCUCGACCGAGGUGGUACUAAAAAAGUGCCAGGUACCAGGUACUAUCCAUGGUGGAAAACCCCCAAAAAACGAGCAGAGUUGAGCUGUACCUUGCAGUGGAAAAGCCCC